CAGACAUUGACUCAUAGAUCGAAGCAUAAACUUUCUGGUAGAGAAACAAUGAAUGUGACUCAGGAAUGCUGAUAGAUAAAAAAUAAGACAUAUAAACAUUGUCAACCAUUGGUAUACAAAACAUGACAUAUACGUAUGGACACAGCCAUCAAACGAGAGACAAAGGAGUGACAAUGAAACACUGACAUAAUUUAGUAUUCU